GUCUACGGCCAUGCUACCCUGAACAAGCCCAGUCUCGUCUGAUCUCAGAAGCUAAGCAGGGACGGGCCUGGUUAGUACUUGGAUGAGAGACCACCUAGGAAGACCAGGUGCUGUAGGCA
rnacentral:rRNA from 1 species